rnacentral:rRNA from 1 species
UACGUAGGGGGCAAGCGUUGUCCGGAUUUACUGGGCGUAAAGAGCGUGUAGGCGGCCAAGCAGGUCCGUUGUGAAAACUGGAGGCUUAACUUCCAGACGUCGACGGAAACCGCGUGGCUAGAGUCCGGAAGAGGAGAGUGGAAUUCCUGGUGUAGCGGUGAAAUGCGCAGAUAUCAGGAAGAACACCAAUGGCGAAGGCAGCUCUCUGGGACGGUACUGACGCUGAGACGCGAAAGCGUGGGGAGCGAACAGG